UACGUAGGGGGCAAGCGUUGUUCGGAAUUACUGGGCGUAAAGGGCGCGUAGGCGGCACGGCAAGUCAGGAGUGAAAGGCCUGGGCUCAACCGAGGAACUGCUUUUGAGACUGCCGAGCUAGAGUGCAGAAGGGGCAACUGGAAUUCCCAGUGUAGCGGUGAAAUGCGUAGAUAUUGGGAAGAACACCUGAGGCGAAGGCGGGUUGCUGGGCUGACACUGACGCUGAGGCGCGAAAGCGUGGGGAGCGAACAGG
rnacentral:rRNA from 1 species